GCUGGGUGUGGUGGCUCACACCUGUAAUCCCAGCACUUUGGGAGGCUGAGGCGGGUGGAUCACCUGAGGUCAGGAGUUCGAGACCAGCCUGGCCAACAUGGUGAAACCCCGACUCUA
rnacentral:SRP_RNA from 1 species